CAGCAGCCGCGGUAAUACGUAUGGUGCAAGCGUUAUCCGGAUUUACUGGGUGUAAAGGGAGCGCAGGCGGUACGGCAAGUCUGAUGUGAAAGCCCGGGGCUCAACCCCGGUACUGCAUUGGAAACUGUCGGACUAGAGUGUCGGAGGGGUAAGUGGAAUUUCUAGUGUAGCGGUGAAAUGCGUAGAUAUUAGGAGGAACACCAGUGGCGAAGGCGGCUUGCUGGACGAUGACUGACGUUGAGGCUCGAAAGCGUGGGGAGCAAACAGGAUUAGAUACCCUGGUAGUCCACGCCGUAAACGAUGACUGCUAGGUGUCGGGUAGCAAAGCUAUUCGGUGCCGCAGCUAACGCAAUAAGCAGUCCACCUGGGGAGU
rnacentral:rRNA from 1 species